GGACCCACCCUCCUCUGGGGGAGGGGAUAAGAGGGAUCUGAGGACCAGGCCCAGGGCUGCGGGCUCAGAAGGCAGCGUCUGGAGCGUCUCCACCAUGGCCUGGGCUCUGCUGCUCAUCACAGUCCUCACUCAGGGCUCAGGGUCCUGGGGCCAGUCUGGCCUGACUCAGCCUUCCUCAGUGUCUGGGAAUCUGGGACAGACGGUCACCAUCUCCUGUGCUGGGACCAGCAGUGACAUAGGGGGUUAUAAUGGUGUGGGCUGGUACCAACAGCUCCCGGGCUCAGCCCCCAAAACUCUGAUAUAUAAUGUCAACAAACGGCCCUCAGGGAUCCCUGCUCGGUUCUCUGGCUCCAAGUCUGGGAACACAGCCACCCUGACCAUCUCUGGGCUCCAGGCUGAGGACGAGGCCGACUAUUACUGUAGCUCAUAUAAAAGUGGUGGUACUGUUGUUUUCGGCAGCGGGACCCGGCUGACCGUCCUGGGUCAGCCCAAGUCCGCACCCUCGGUCACCCUGUUCCCGCCCUCCACGGAGGAGCUCAACGCCAACAAGGCCACCCUGGUGUGUCUCAUCAGCGACUUCUACCCGGGUAGUGUGACCGUGACCUGGAAGGCAGAUGGCAGCACCAUCACCCGGAACGUGGAGACCACCCGGGCCUCCAAACAGAGCAACAGCAAGUACGCGGCCAGCAGCUACCUGAGCCUGACGAGCACCGACUGGAAAUCGAAAGGCAGUUACAGCUGCGAGGUCACGCACGAGGGGAGCACCGUGACGAAGACAGUGAAGCCCUCAGAGUGUUCUUAGGGCCCUGGACCCCACCCCGGAAAGUUCUACCCUCCCACCCUGGUUCCCCCACCCUGGUUCCCCCUAGCCCUUCCUCCUGCAUGCAAUCAGCUCUUAAUAAAAUGUCCUCAUUGUCAUUCAGAAAUGAA